CGAGAAGCAGCUACAUCCUCCACCGGUGCCGUUGGUUUCUCCGAUGAUGAGGUGGCAGGUGAUGAUGUCAUAGAAGGUGGGGCAACAGCCGGGUGAGAUUGCUCAGCUGAUGAUGAUGAAGAAACGGCCGUUUCGAUGGCGGAAUGGUGGUUGCGGCUGUUUUUCAUGUUUGUUUGUUUUUUUGGGUUAAAAUUAUUUUUCCUCGUCUCUAUGGCGUGUGUAGGUGUAUCUCUUACGAAUAUAUGUUUUUAUUGACGAUGAUGAAUGGAGAAAAGAAAAUAAAGAGACAAGGGGAAAAUGG
rnacentral:misc_RNA from 1 species